rnacentral:rRNA from 1 species
UUUAAGAGUUUGAUCCUGGCUCAGGAUGAACGCUGGCGGCGCGUCUUAGGCAUGCAAGUCGAAUGGGUUUAGACCCAUGGCAAACGGGUGCGUAACACAUUGGUAACCUACCCCCAAGCGGGACAUAAUCAACCGAAAGGUUGGAUAAUUUCCCAUAGUUUCCAUUUAUAAUUUACAUGGAAUAAAGAUUUAUCACUUGGGGAGGGGCCUAUGGUCUAUCAGCUUGUUGGUGAGGUAAUGGCUCACCAAGGCAAUGACAGAUAGCGGGUAUUAACGUACGACCCGCCUCACCGGGACUGAAACACUGCCCGGACUCCUACGGGAGGCUGCAGUCAAGAAUCUUCCGCAAUGGCCGAAAGGCUGACGGAGCGACGCCGCGUGAAGGAUGAAGGCCCUCGGGUCGUAAACUUCUUUUCUCAGGGAAAAAUUUCUGAUUGUACUUGAGGAAUAAGGGACUGCUAACUUCGUGCCAGCAGCAGCGGUAAUACGAAGGUCCCAAGCGUUAUCCGGUGUUACUAGGCGUAAAGCGUCCGCAGGUGGUUUAGCGCAUCUUUGGUCAAAUCCCACGGCCCAACCGUGGAACUGCCAAAGAGAUGGCUAAACUUGAGACAGGGAGAGGCAUGUGGAAUGGCUGGUGUAGGAGUAAAAUCCGUUAAUCUCAGCCAGAACACCAAAUGCGAAGGCAGCAUGCUGGAACUGUUCUGACACUCAUGGACGAAAGCGUGGGUAGCGAAUGGGAUUAGAUACCCCAGUAGUCCACGCCGUAAACGAUGGGUACUAGUCAUUGGGAGCUCGACCCUCUCAGUGGCGCUUUAAAACAAGCAAACGCGUUAAGUACCCCGCCUGGGGAGUACGGCCGCAAGGCUAAAACUCAAAGGAAUUGACGGGAAUCCGCACAAGCGGUGGAGCGUGUGGUUUAAUUCGACAGUAAGCGAGGAACCUCACCAA